UCCUGAGUGCUUAUGUUAUACAUAGGCUUUUGCCAUGGGUAAAUACCUACGAGAAUAAGUGGGGGGCAAUACCUGUGCCAGCCGCCGCGGUAACCCAGGACCCACAAGUGGCAACCGCUUUUAUUUGGCCUAAAGCGUCCGUAGCUGGUUUUGUAAAUCUUCUGUGAAAUCAUUUGGCUUAACCAAAUGGCGAGCAGGAGACACUGCAUCACUAGGGACCGGGAGGCGUGAGGAGUAUUUCGGGGGGAGCGGUAAAAUGUUAUAAUCCCCGAAGGACUACCUGUGGCGAAGGCGCCUCACGAGAACGGAUCCGACAGUGAGGGACGAAAGCUAGGGGAGCAAAACGGAUUAGAUACCCGAGUAGUCCUAGCCGUAAACUCUGCAAGCUAGGUGUCGCGUAAUCUUCGGGAUUGCGCGGUGUCGUAGUGAAGAUGUUAAGCUUGCCGCCUGGGAAGUAUGGUCGCAAGGCUGAAACUUAA
rnacentral:rRNA from 1 species